rnacentral:lncRNA from 1 species
GCGCUAAUUAUAGACGUGAAUGGAAAGCGGCCGCUUCUGAAUGAUCGCGUUGCUCGAGCUGCCGUUGGAAGCUUAGAAGCAGGUGCUACCGUGCUAGAUACAAAGCGAUCUAUUUAAAAGCCCUCUGUCACGCACGCACACUUACUGACGAAUCCUCUGGCUCUCUCCUACCACCGCCCGGUGGCGGAUUCCGGAAUUGGUUCAAAAGGCCUUGAUCCCGAACACCCAGGACAGAGACAGAGUACUUUUCCUACCUCUUUCGCCUGCAUCCUUAGAAAACUCCCGUGGAUGAGAAGAUCCCCAGGCCUUUACAAGCUGUUGUUUUACAAAAGGAGAAACUGAGGCAGGAAGAGGCGGUGGAUGUGCACCAGAGCACGUGGUGCGUCGGUGCAAUAGCUGAGGGCACAUGGAACAUUCACCAAGAUAAACCAUAUGCUGGAACAUAAAAUUUAUGGAUGUCACCCAUGAAGCAGAGUCCUUCAGACCCUCAAUCAAAAACAAGUCUCAUUUUACAUUAAAUUGGAGGACUAUCUGGAGUCUCUGACCACCGUGUGACAGAAAAGAGAGCAGAAUUGUUGCAUGAUGGGUAACACUCAUCAGUAAUCGCUGUUUGCCAAGCCAUCUGGGAGGAGACCAAAGAGCUAUAAAAUAAGUUCAGGCACGGUGGCUCAUGCCUGUAAUCCCAGCACUUUGGGAGGCCGAGGUGGGUGAAUCACCUGAGGUCAGGAGUUCGAGACCAGCCUGGCCAACAUGGUGAAACCCUGUCUCUACUAAAAAUACAAAAAAAAUAGCUGGGUGUGGUGGUGGGUACCUGUAAUCCCAGCUUCUCAGGAGGCUGAGGCAGGAGAACUGCUUGAACCUGGGAGGCAGAAGUUGCAGUGUGCCGAGAUUGUGCCACUACUCUCCAACCUAGGCAACAGAGCGAAUCUACAUCUCAAAAAAAAAAUAAAUAAAAAUAAAAAAUAUAUACAUAGGUACCAGAGCUGAGAACGUAGCAGCCUGGGACCAUGUCAUUCAGGAGCAAAUAACAAGCCCAGAAAAUGCCUGGGAGAAGUCUUGUACCAGUCCACUUCAUGGUUUAGUAGGAACAUCAUGGACUCAGCUGACAAUGAUUUGGGCAUGGCCCUGCCACUAACCCACGAGAAGCUGUAGACCAGUCCCUUUCAUUUCCCCUUUCUGGGGACCCGCUUCCCCUUGUGCAAAAUGGAGUCACUAGAAUCUAGUGUCUUGAUCUCCAAGAUGAUUUCCACUUUUACCUUUCUGUGUCUAUUUUUGUGUUCCUUCUAAUUCCCCUGGGUCUUCAAGGAAAGGAUGAAUAAUUCUUGGUAGUCUUUGUGUUAGAAGGCAGGGGGUGGUCUGAGACCUGCACAGGGCAUAUUUGCUUAUAUGGAUUGGCUUAUAUCGCCUCCCAAAUCCUGGAUAUGCUCAGACAUAUCCCAAAAGGUUCUACAAGGACAUAUUUACAAACAGCUUCCAAACAGCAGUAAAAUGGCAAAACAAGCCUUGCAAGAGAAAUUCUGUAUACCAGACAAUUUAAUUCUGAACAAUGGACCACAUGAGGGUGUAUAAAUAACUAAUUAUGCUGGACAACAUGAACAGCUUUUUUGGAUGAUUGCAAAAUUGGGGAGGAAGGAAAUGUGAUGGGUAUUUAUAUAUUUGGGCUUCAGUCAAAGAUUUCAUAUUCAUUCUUAAGCAAUUUGACUUACAAAAUUAGCUCAGACUAGAACAUGGUCAAACGACUUGAAACUGGAAGAAAGUCUGCUAUCCCAGGGGGAUGGUUUGUGCCCAAGAAUCCAAGGGAAUGGAAUGGAGUACUGUGUGUGUGCUCCUGCAGCCUCUGCAGGCUGCUCAGUGAGAGGUUUCUUGGUCUUCAGAAGGACCUGCAGAAAAGGAGUAGGGACUGUUUUGGAGCAUUUGUAAUAAGUGUUCCAAUAUGAAUCCACUUCAUCUUGUUAUCACACAAGCACACGCUCCUGAACACGCAGGUCCACAUUUUUCCUAGGUUCCUCCUAUUCCAUCAGUACUAUGCCAAGCCUUGAAGUGACGGAGACUGGAUUUCUGGGAGGUGCAUGGGGACACUUGGCUCACCUCUAAAUCCAGUGCCUGCUACUACUUCUAGUGCCUACAUACCAGGUACACAGAAAUACUUGUUGAACCAACUAGUUUUUUAAUGAAAUAAGUAGCAGACUGUCCUUGUGAAAACAGAAUCCUUUGUGAACACAGAGGGGACAGAACAGUUCAUUCUGACCUUAGGGAUUGCAAGGCCCUUUCCUUCUUGCCGCAGGGCCUUCAAACAUCUAUUUGCCCCUUCUUGCCCUCUGCCUAAAUCCUAUUCAUCUUUAUAUUGCUUCCAGAGAACCUUCCCUAACUCCAAACCCCUCCUCCUUGUCCUUGCAUCAUUCUAUUUCAUGACAUCAUGUCCUUUCUCUUCAAAAUACAUAGCACAACUUACUAUUAAUAUCUAUUUGUGUGUUUGUUUGUUGGGAAUCUACUCCUACAAUAGACUAUGAGCAAUAAUGUCUUUCUUAUCCAUGGCUAUCUCGCCAGUACCUACUAUGGUGCCUGAUGCCUAGGAGUGCAUAGUAAAUAUUUGUAAGUUGUUUAUUGAAUAAAUGCAUAUUAUUUACAAAGGAAGUAGAAUUUGAGCAGGACCUUGAAAAAGAUUUUGACAGAGAUAUGCAAGAAGAGAAUUCGAGGAGGAUGGAACAACCUAAUCAGAAAAAAAAGAACAGGAAAAGUACACAUAGGAGUAAUUUGAAUGGCCAUGAGAAUGUCAGUGUUUGCCAGAAAUGACAUGCUAAGAAACAGCAGUGGGAAUCACCCUGAUUUUUGCAGAAGAUAAAUAAAACUACCAGAGCUGAGCCUUAGACAAGUGGCUCAAGAAGUUCCAUGAAUAAUCGAUGGUUAAAAAGAGAGACUGGAGAGAAGGAUAUUAUUAGGAGGCUGCUAAAGUGACGCAUGCAAAAACCGAUGGGGGAUCAGACAGAGCAGCUGUGGUGGGAAUCGAAAGAUCAAAGACUGCAGAAUGAUUGAAUAGAAUGCGUGCAGGAGAAAAGAGAAGGAGAAAUUAGCAAUAAUCCUCAAGUUUCUACCUGGGAGGGUGGGUGAAGCAGGUGGAGCUGUGAGCAGAGAUUGCAAACACAGCAAAAGUCAGAAGACUUUGGGCUGGAAGUAAGAGAGCUUUAUAUAGACAUCUGGUGUUGGAAGUGUUGAAGAGCCACCAGCGAGAGCUAUCUGGUAGAAAAAAGAGAGAUCUGAACUUAGAUGUGGGUUUAAGUAACACCUGCCCAGAGUGGGCAGCUGGAGUUGGUGAGCCAACUCAGAGUCCCAAGAAUGCCUUAGGACCCACCUUCUUUACUUUUUCUGUACAGUAACUGAGCUUGAGCCUCAAAUAGUGGUCCCCGAAGAAGGCUUCUAGAAUCCGCCAGGCUGCUAGGAUCUAUACUGGCUUCCUUUGUUGGACAUUUGGUAGAAGUGAGAGACAGGACUAGCCGGAUUUCCUAGGCCAACUAAGAAUCCCUAACCCUAGCUGGGAAGGUGACCGUGUCCACCUUUAAGCAUGGGGCUUGCAACUUAGCUCACACCCAACCAAUCAGAUAGUAAAGAGAGCUCACUAAAAUGCUAAUUAGGCAAAAACAGGAGGUAAAGAAAUAGCCAAUGAUCUAUCGCCUGAGAGCACAGCAGAAGAGACAAUGAUCAGGAUAUAAACACAGGCAUUCGAGCCGGCAAUGGCAACCCCUUCAGGUCCCCUCCCUUUGUAUGGGAGCUCUGUUUUCACUCUAUUAAAUCUUGCAACUGCACUCUUCUGGUCCCUGUUUGUUACGGCUGGAGCUGAGCUUUCGCUCGCCGCCCACUGAUGCUGGCCGCCGUCACAGACCCACCGCUGACUUCCAUCCCCCUGGAUCCCGCAGGGUGUCCGCUGUGCUCCUGAUCCAGCAAGGCGCCCACUGCUGCUCCUGAUCGGGCUAAAGGCUUGUCAUUGUUCCUGCACAGCUAAGUGUCCGGGUUCGUCCUAAUCGAGCUGAACACUAGUCACUGGGUUCCAUGGUUCUCUUCCGUGACCCACGGCUCCUAAUAGAGCUAUAACACUCACCGCAUGGCCCAAGAUUCCAUUCUUUGGAAUCCGUGAGGCCGAGAACCCCACGUCAGAGAAUACGAGGCUUGCCACCAUCUUGGAAGCAGCCCGCCACCAUCUUGGAAGCAGCCCGCCACCAUCUUGGAAGCAGCCCACCACCAUCUUGGGAGCUCUGGGAGCAAAGACCCCUGGUAACAGAAGCAUGUUCCACAUAUCGUUGAGUUGUUGUCAAGAUGUAGAUGUUGUUCUUGCAUACUGGAAAAUCACCUCCUACUUCGAAUAUCUUCUUGAUUCUCUCUCCUGCUGUGCCCUUCUAACCAGCACAUGAAGCCUAAGUUCCCUUUCUCUUGACUCUCUCCUACCCCACACUGCAAGUAAUCAAAUCGGAGUUCUCCCUGACCAUGAUGAAGUUUGUGUCCCCAUUAAGGAAAUAAUAAACAUGGGGAAAAUAUCCCACAUAGAGCUAGAAAAGAAUUCUCCUAAAAGUAGAAACUUUAGCUUUGACUGAUAGAAAAGGUAUACCCCUGAAUGUUUCCAAACUUAAGUCACAAGGAAGCCCAGCCAAGUACCAGACUGGUGUGAAAUAAUUUCCCCAGGUGAAGAGUACCACACUAUUAGUCGACCGUGCAAUUGAAGAAGAGAACGUUGCUUUUCACCAGUCAUCUAGGGUCUGGAAUGGGAAGGCACGAGGCCAGUGUGAUGUAGACAUACUCAGCUCUCAAAGAAUUUUUCCUUGAAAGAGAAAAACAAAGGCAGGAUGAGAACUCAAUCAGCUGCUUCCUUCGGGAGACUGGGUGUAGCAGGACGGGCCCCUCACAAAUAUGCCAAGAAUGAAGCUUUUAAAUUACCACCACCAAGAAUACUGGGUCAGAAGUUCCUAGAAUUACUUCCUACUUGGAUCAAAGAAGCAUAGAGGUACAACAAGGUCUGACAUCAGAUGUGAAGUGAUUUUGAACCCUGACCCACACUCCGAUCCCCUUGGAGAACAUAACUACUCCUGGAGGUGGAAGCGGAUCCUGCCUUAAUGGAUAAAAACUGAGACAAGUCUUUUGUUCUUUUUAAUACCCCAAAGGGUUGAGCUUAAGCCUUUCUGUAGGAGCAAAGACAUCACCGUAAGGCAAACAGUGCUAGUACAGAACCAUAAAACCCUUCUCAGCAUCUAAAGGAUACCCAUUAUGUUCAUCUCAAAGUCAGAGUUAUUUACUUUGCCUUUUACGUUGACAUUCUUUUCUCUACUAUGAUAGUUAGCAAAAUUGAAUGAGAAAAGGCCCAAGUUCAAAAUCCGCUCUGCUGCUUACAGGCCUUCUUGGUUUCAAUAGUCAAACCCAGUGAUGAUUCUUGCCUGAGCAAUCUCAGGUUGUUAUGAGGAGUAGAGAAUAUGUAAAUAUGGGAAAGGGCUUUGUGACUAUUCAGCUCUCCACAUGUAAGCGGUUGUAAUCAUUCACUGACUAAACCUAUCAGGUGGAUUUUCUUCAACCUCAGUUGCUGCUUCAUUCUCCCUUAGGGUCAUGAAGUAUCAGCAAGAGGCUGUUACUAGUUUUCUUGGGCUGCCUCCUGUCUGUCUCAGUCUGUAUCUACAAUGGAACCGACAAUGAAUCAUAUCUGUGGAGCACCAGGCAACUCAGCACUCCAGUCUGUUAAAGUGUCUUGCACUGCUUAUAUUACAGCAAAUAAAACAGGAAAGGAAAAUAUAUUUAUUCCCAUCAUUAAUAAUCCAUCAUGCCUAGUCAAAUUGGUCAUAGUAAACUGGAACAAUCACUCUUGCCUACAACAGUCUCAAUAUAAGGGAGUUCAUUGUGCUAGCUGGGAACUUGGGACCAGAUCAUCCUGGAUCUCAGUGGGCCACUUUCUGGCUGAGUGACCCCACAAAGGUCACUUAAUUCCUCAUAAUUUCCUUAUAGAUAUAAUCUUGGUUAAUAAUAACAACCUAUGUAAAGAGUGAGCAUAUUAAGUUAAAUGAGGAAAUAAUGAUAAAAGUGUUACAUAGUAAGUCCGCAAGCACAUUUGGGUUCCCUUCUUCCUUGCAGGUGAAGGGAAAAUAAAUAAUAAUAAUGAUAGCUGGCUGGGCAAGGUAGCUCACACUUGUAAUCCCAGUACUUGGAGAGGCUAAGGAGGGAGGAUUGCUUGAGCACAGGAAUUUGAGACUAGCCUGGGCAAUAUGGCAAAACCCUAGCUCUACAAAAAUGCAAAAAUUAGCUGAGUACGGCAGCAUGCACCUGUAGUCCUAGCUACUCAGGAGGCUGCAGUGGGAGAAUAGCUUAAGUCUGGGAAGUUGAGGCUGCAGUGAGCUGUGAUUGUGCACUGCACUCCAGCCUGGGUGACAGAGCAAGACCCUGUCUCAAAAAAAAAAAAAAAAAGUAAAUAAUGAUAGGUAAUACUUACAUAGCAUCUAUGAUACAGCAGGCACUGUUCUGAGAGUUCUACUUAUUAAUAUAUUAGCUCACCUAGUCUUUGCAACUCUGAGAUAGAAUGCUGUUUUCAUCUAACCUUUACAGGUGGGUAAGCUAAAGCUCAGUGAGAUUAUAUACUUACCUGGGGUCACAUAGCUCACAGGGACAGAACCAGGAUUUAACUCAGGUGCUCUGACACUACAGUGCUGUGCUAACCUACCAUGCUACAACGCUGCCCAUGAUUAUGGAUAUUAAUCCACAGGCUUCUUUCAACUUUAUAUUCUGAGAGCUGAAACAUAGGCUUUUUACCCCUAAUUAAUAUGGCAUGUCUUCCUAGACAAUAUAUAUUCUAAUUACAUUUUUAAUAUCUGUCAUUUGUAAUGAUUCAGCUUCUGAUAAGCUUGUUAACUGAAUGUCAUUUUUUUCUCCACCUAAACUACCUUUGGAAAGUUCACACACAUCAUGCAGUUAUUUAUGAUUUGAGGAAGAGCAUCAUAUAUGUAAACUAAAAAAUGUUUAUUAAAGUUAGAAUUAAUAAUGAUUGAUUUGAUUUCACUGAUGAGUUAAUUGGGGAAAUGAACAGGUAAUUGGGUAUUUACAAAAGAAGGUCAAGAAUGGUUUGUGGGAGUAGUCAGUCAGAUCCAUUUCCUAAGCUUUUGCUCAGCCUUUCCUUCCUAAAACCCAGCCUGCUGGGGAGCAGGAAAAGAAAGCAAGGCACCGUACAUUUGCUUACGACUGACACACUUUUCUCACAAAAGCUGUGCUCUGAUCUGAUCUACUCUGACACCUCCAAAGGCACUUUUGUCUACAGAAUAAAACCAAACCUCAUCUGUUUCUCAAGGGUCCUCCGCACUCGUCUGGCUCCAGACCGCUUGUUCAUGACUGUCUUCCAAUAAGCUUCAGACCCUUGCCAUUCCCCCAAAAAGAUUUUUCCCCCCAAAAUCUCUAAGCUCUCCAUUGCUCCAACAGGCCCUUCCCUCUCUAAUUCUGCCAAAGUUCUAGUAAGUUUUCAAGACUGUUUCUGGGGUGUCCAAUCUUUUGGCUUCCUUGGGCCACAUUAGAGGAAGAAUUGUCUUGGGCCACACAUAAAGUACAUUAACACUAACAGUAGCUGAUGAGCUUGAAAAAAAAAUCACCGGCUGGGUGUGGGGGCUCACGCCUGUAAUUCCAGCACUUCGGGAGGCUGAGGCAGGUGGAUCGCCUGAGGUCAGAGUUCGAGACCAGCCUGGCCAACAUGGUGAAACCCCGUCUCUACUAAAAAUACAAAAAUUAGCUGGGCGUGGUGGCAGGUGCCUGUAAUCCCAGCUACUUGGGAGGCUAAGGCAGGAGAAUCGCUUGAACUCAGGAGGCAGAGGUUGCAGUGAGCUGAGAUCAUGCCAUUGUACUCCAGCCUGGCGCAACAAGAGCGAGACUUUGUCUUAAAAAAAAAAAUCACCAAAAAAUCUCAUAAUGUGUUAAGAAAGUUUAUAAAUUUGUGUUGGGCCAAAUUCAAAGCUAUUCUGGGCUGCAUGAGGCCCACGGGCCAUGGAUUAUACAAGCUUGGACUGUACCUUCUCUACUUGUAUGUCCCACAUACCCUCAGUUCAGAAUUAGCUUUUUCUUUCUUCCAUUUCCAAUGGCACAAAAUAAUACUUCUAUUUUAGAACUGAUCCCUCAUUAUGUUGCACUGAAUUUUGUAUGUGUGUCUACUUGUUCCACCAGAGUGAGCCCCUAAAUAGUAGGGUGAAGGUCACAUUCAUCUCUGAAUGGUCCUUCAUUAACAUAGUUCCUGGCAAGAGGAAGUUUUCAAUAAAUUUGGUUUACUUGAAUUGAGCUUCUUAUACAGCAGAGUGAAAUUAUUUUGUGACUACAGUUUGAGAGCAUACUCCCCAAGGCUAAAACGGACAAUGAACUUUUUUCAACUAACUGUAAGAUAGUAUAAGCCAUCAAUCUCUUAAAGCCAGAGGGAAAUUCACCUUUAAGCACUUGGAGAUUUAUUUAACUAAAGGAGUCAUUCCACCAGAAAGCAUCAUUGUGAUUUCUCUCAUUAUCUAAAAUGAAUAAGAAUUAUUAUAAUGAUAAAUUAGUGGCAGGAGACACUGAUUUUUAGAAAGGAAAAUUAAUAAUGCACAGUGAAUAAAAUCUCAUUUAGAUGUUCUUUGCACAUGCUCUCCAAUAAUAAUCAUUCAAUUUAUAGCACUUUACAGUUAGUGCAUCCAUAUAUAAUUUCAUCUUCACAUCAACACAGAAAAGCUAGUCUCAUUGCCAACUUACAAAUAACAAAACUGAGUCUAGGCAGGCAAGGAAACAAAUAACUAUUAAGUACCAGAGUUGGGUCUCAAAUCCAGGACCCCUGACUAUAUCCUGGGUUAUCUUCUCCCAGGCAUUGCCAGCCCAGGAACCUCCCAAGGGUAAGUCCUGCAGAUGAGCAGCUUCCUCUCCAGGCCCCUGGGCAUCCUAGUCAGAGGCCUCUGUGUAUCUGUGCCACCCCAGCUACACUUGGUAGAGCACACUUGAGGUGUCUCAGUGCUAUAGAACCACCCACUUCAGGGUGUUUCACUGUGCAUAGUCCUCUUAGGCCUCUAAUGACAUUUCAGAAAAUUACUUUCACUUUUUUAAUCAAAGUCCCCUGCCUUUACGAAACAAUCAGUGUCUGACUCUCUAAAUCUCUUCUUCCUAUCAUAAUUGCCAUCCCCAGUAAACUGCCUUAUUUUUUUCAAAUAUCUUCUUUCAAAAUGAAAUUAAGCUUUGGGAGGCCAAG